rnacentral:rRNA from 1 species
CCUACGGGGGGCGGCAGUGGGGAAUAUUGGACAAUGGGGGGAACCCUGAUCCAGCCAUGCCGCGUGUGUGAAGAAGGCCCUCGGGUUGUAAAGCACUUUCAGUGAGGAAGAACGCCUGGUGGUUAAUACCCAUCAGGAAAGACAUCACUCACAGAAGAAGCACCGGCUAACUCCGUGCCAGCAGCCGCGGUAAUACGGAGGGUGCGAGCGUUAAUCGGAAUUACUGGGCGUAAAGCGCGCGUAGGUGGCUUGAUAAGCCGGUUGUGAAAGCCCCGGGCUCAACCUGGGAACGGCAUCCGGAACUGUCAAGCUAGAGUGCAGGAGAGGAAGGUAGAAUUCCCGGUGUAGCGGUGAAAUGCGUAGAGAUCGGGAGGAAUACCAGUGGCGAAGGCGGCCUUCUGGACUGACACUGACACUGAGGUGCGAAAGCGUGGGUAGCAAACAGGAUUAGAUACCCGAGUAGUC